GAUCUAUCCCAGUACUUCCUGCAAGACAGCAAUCUUCUGCACUGUGUCCUCUGGUAGCCUCUCUACUCUGUCUCCGUGUCUGCUUCAAUAACAAACAGCUGUUGCUGAGGCGUUGCUGUGGCGUUGCUGUUGACGUGUUACCUUCGAAAACUCCCUCCAGUCACAGGAGAUGCCUCUUCCAGAGCAUGGAUCAUCUAGGCAACAAGUGGCUCAGUUGCCAUAGAGACUCAGUAGGGUGAGGCGUGUUUGUUUGCUUGCAUCACGCCUUCUGGGAGUGCGACAAAGGCUCUUCUCUACGUCAUGAGUAACUGAUGUUUGGUAGGCUGUGGGUAAGCUUUAAUCAGCUGAUCAGUAGCGAUAAUAUCAAGGCCUCUGUUUGAUACGUUAAUAGUGACAGAUACACUUCCACAAUUAAUAACACAGUGUUCUCUUUGAGAGUCACAUUGUUUUGGUUGGGUAAGAAAGCAGGGCAUUUGCUAGGGUUGGGAGGAGGGUUUGCUUUCACAUAAACACAUACUCCGCAGUGCUUGUCACCACAAACUCCCUUGUUCCGAUUCUGAUCUUGACUUUCUGCAUAACCCUUUCUGAGGUCACAUGCCCUUUGGCAACUGUAGCAAGUGCUGUUUCCUGUUUCUAAACUCGCAGACAGCCACCAGUAUGUCUCAGUUGUCACUUUUAACCAGCUAUCAGUCCAGCUUGCUGUUGCUCUUUUAUCUGUAAGUGAGGCAGACUCUGGCCGUUAGGUGGUUGAUACAUUUGAUAAUCUUAAUUAAUUUGUCUACAUUUCCAUAGGACUCAAGACUCGAAAACAGAAAAGAGAGGAGAGGAAGAAACCUUCACAGGAGCUUAACCGGGUAGAGGGCAUCUAAGCCCAGCGCCUAUAUUUGCAGUACAGAGGAUGCAUCUCCUCUGUGAGAAGCCCCCUCUCCCAGAUGGUCAUCACUCCUGAAGCUCCCUUUGGUCUCCCGGAAAAGAAACUCCACUAUUGGACCCAGGUCUUCCAUUCUGCUUUGCCUGAGCUGCGUCUGCUUGCCUGCACAUGUUCUUCUUGAUUAAUAUGUGUCCUCAGCAGUGUGGUCCUAUAGCAAAACUCAGAACAUUGGUGAUGGUUCGGUGCUUCUCUCCUGUGUUCUGCAUGUUCCACAAGGCUGAUUCAGCCCUAAAGACACCACCGAAUUCUAUCAGAAAUUCAGAAAUGAUUAAGAUGUGGAGCCCUCCUAAGUGAAAGUCAGCAGACUAUCUUAGAAAAGUUCAUACAAGACAAUUGCUGUAACUUCGCCUUAAUAAAAUGUUUGAACUUUUAAAAAAAA
rnacentral:lncRNA from 1 species